rnacentral:rRNA from 1 species
UACAGAGGGGGCAAGCGUUGUUCGGAAUUACUGGGCGUAAAGGGCGCGUAGGCGGCCUUCUAAGUCGAACGUGAAAUCCCUGGGCUUAACCCAGGAACUGCGUCCGAUACUGGAAGGCUUGAAUCCGGGAGAGGGAUGCGGAAUUCCAGGUGUAGCGGUGAAAUGCGUAGAUAUCUGGAGGAACACCGGUGGCGAAGGCGGCAUCCUGGACCGGCACUGACGCUGAGGCGCGAAAGCGUGGGGAGCAAACAGG